rnacentral:rRNA from 1 species
CACGUAGGGGGCGAGCGUUGUCCGGAUUUAUUGGGCGUAAAGCGCGCGUAGGCGGCCACUUAAGUCGGAUGUGAAAGCCCCUGGCUCAACUGGGGAAGUGCACCCGAAACUGAAUGGCUUGAGUGCGAAAGAGGGUCGCGGAAUUCCCGGUGUAGAGGUGAAAUUCGUAGAUAUCGGGAGGAACACCGGUGGCGAAGGCGGCGACCUGGGUCGACACUGACGCUGAGGCGCGAAAGCGUGGGGAGCAAACAGG